rnacentral:rRNA from 1 species
GAUGAACGCUGGCGGCGUGCCUAACACAUGCAAGUCGAACGGAAACUAAGCGCUUCGGAGACUUCGGUCAAUGUUUGCUUGGUUUUAGUGGCGGACGGGUGAGUAACGCGUGGAUAACCUGCCUCAUACAGGGGGAUAACAGUUAGAAAUGACUGCUAAUACCGCAUAAGCGCACAGUUUCGCAUGGAACAGUGUGAAAAACUCCGGUGGUAUGAGAUGGAUCCGCGUCUGAUUAGCUAGUUGGCGGGGUAACAGCCCACCAAGGCGACGAUCAGUAGCCGGCCUGAGAGGGUGAACGGCCACAUUGGGACUGAGACACGGCCCAAACUCCUACGGGAGGCAGCAGUGGGGGAUAUUGCACAAUGGGGGAAACCCUGAUGCAGCGACGCCGCGUGAGUGAAGAAGUAUUUCGGUAUGUAAAGCUCUAUCAGCAGGGAAGAUAAUGACGGUACCUGACUAAGAAGCACCGGCUAAAUACGUGCCAGCAGCCGCGGUAAUACGUAUGGUGCAAGCGUUAUCCGGAUUUACUGGGUGUAAAGGGAGCGUAGACGGCUUAGCAAGUCUGAUGUGAAAGCUAUGGGCUCAACCCAUAAACUGCAUUGGAAACUGUUCAGCUGGAGUGUCGGAGAGGUAAGCGGAAUUCCUAGUGUAGCGGUGAAAUGCGUAGAUAUUAGGAGGAACACCGGUGGCGAAGGCGGCUUACUGGACGAUAACUGACGUUGAGGCU